UACGGAGGAUCCAAGCGUUAUCCGGAUUUAUUGGGUUUAAAGGGUGUGUAGGUGGCGCCGUAAGUCGGGUGUGAAAUUUCGGAGCUUAACUCCGAAACUGCAUUCGAUACUGCGGUGCUUGAGGACUGGAGAGGAGACUGGAAUUCAUGGUGUAGCAGUGAAAUGCGUAGAGAUCAUGAGGAAGACCAGUGGCGAAGGCGGGUCUCUGGACAGUUCCUGACGCUGAGGCACGAAAGCCAGGGGAGCAAACGGG
rnacentral:rRNA from 1 species